rnacentral:rRNA from 1 species
UACGGAGGGGGCGAGCGUUAUUCGGAAUUAUUGGGCGUAAAGGGCGCGUAGGCGGCUUGACAAGUCAAAGGUGAAAUCCCUCGGCUCAACUGAGGAACUGCCUUUGAAACUGUCUGGCUUGAGGCCGGGAGGGGGUAGCGGAAUUCCCAGUGUAGCGGUGAAAUGCGUAGAUAUUGGGAGGAACACCAGUGGCGAAGGCGGCUACCUGGACCGGUUCUGACGCUGAUGCGCGAAAGCGUGGGUAGCAAACAGG